rnacentral:rRNA from 1 species
UUUGCCUACGGGAGGCAGCAGUGAGGAAUAUUGGUCAAUGGGCGCAAGCCUGAACGAGCAAUGCCGCGUGAACGAGGAAGGUCUUCGGAUCGUAAAGUUCUGUUGAAGGGGAAAAAGAGCGGAGAGAGGAAAUGGUCUCCGAUUGAUAUUACCCUUCGAGGAAGUCACGGCUAACUACGCGCCAGCAGCCGCGGUAAUACGUAGGUGGCGAGCGUUAUCCGUAAUGAUUGGGCGUAAAGGGUGCGUAGGCGGCCUGCUAAGUCUGGAGUGAAAGGUACCGGCUCAACCGGUACAGGCUCUGGAAA